rnacentral:rRNA from 1 species
GCGGUAAUACCAGCUCUCCGAGUGGUAGGGACGAUUAUUGGGCUUAAAGCGUCCGUAGCCGGCUUAGCAAGUCUCCUGUUAAAUUCAGCGACUCAAUCGUUGAGCCGCGGGAGAUACUACUAGGCUAGGAGGCGGGAGAGGUCGACGGUAUUCCCGGGGGAGGGGUGAAAGCCUAUAAUCCCGG